CACAAAGCUAAGUUUUGAAUACUCUGUGUCACUGCUUCCAGCUGAUAUUAUAAAAGGCAGUGGUGAGGAUUUCAGCUAAAAAAAGAUUCGUUGUUUCAAAAGCCCAGCCUGAAGUAAGACAGUGCCAUAGACACGACCACACCAGAGGGCAGGUGGUUCACAAAGGGCCUUGCAUUCUUCUUUGCUCUUGUUUACUUUACAUGAGGGCAAGGAGUCUCAGAAGCGUAAGAUAUAAUACUACACUAGACAGGCAAGCAGACCUAAUGUGCAAAGUCUCAUGUUGGCUAUAUAGGUAGUUUAUAUGUCAGUUCCAAUUAUGAAUACAUUCCUCAGCAACUAGAGUUUUCUCAUUCAUUCUUACUGAACUGUUAGGGCAUGUGGCAGCCCAGAGCUCUGUCAAAAUGAAUUGUCCCCCUUGAAAAGUUGGCAAUGCAAGGAAGUGACAACCUAAUGCAUGUUAGCACUCUUGAUAACAGGACCCAGAGGAGACGGCGAAGCAACAAUUGGAUAUGUGUCUGGGCACUGGCUGUUGUUCCUGCCUGGGUUCAAAUCUCCUCUCUGCCGCUUAUGAUCUGUGUGCAUUUACAAGUUUGUUAGCCCCCUUACCUCUUUGUUCCUUAUAAGGUUGUCGUGCAAAUUACAUGAAAUGAUGUUACAGGUGUAAGCCAAUGCCUGACACACAUAUGUAUUCUACAGUAAUCAUUAUCAAAGUGGUAAGCAGGAACCAGUGCCAUUUCACAACUAUCAGGUACUCUUCUGGGUACUCAUCAUGAAAGACUGCAGUGUUCCAUUUACAGGCAUUGGUUGGUGGUUUACUAAAGAGUGUGUUUUUGUCCAAGAAGUUCACUCACUACAUUUUGCUCAACCAGUCCUCUCAUUUGCAGCGAUUUUUUUUUCUUUGAGCGUCCCUUGUUGUGCAGCAUAAACAUCUGGGCUGCAUGGUCAGACCCAUGAGGCUUCUCUUCCAUCUGGCCACCUGUUAUAUAAUUAAGCCUGAUUGCAGAUGCGAUUCUCAUUUAGCUGUCAGCAGCAGCCUGGGAGACUAGCAACUGAGGUGAAUAAAGGUAGCUCACCACAUCUACAAGGGUAGAAGGGCUGAAGCGAAGGGUUGACCAGCCAGGACAACAAAGGUUAUUGCUUAUGGCAGUGUCAGCCUAAGAGCUCAAGUUCAAGAUCAGAAGCAUGAGAGGGUAAGACCUCUAGGGGAGUCUGCAUAGGUCCAGGUGAAACCCUGGGUGUCUCUUGAUUGUC
rnacentral:lncRNA from 1 species